GCAAACUUAGGAUGACAUUUCGCUAAGGAUAUAAGGGAUAAUUACUAGCGAAGCUUGUAAGAAAAUCAAUAAGGAUUCGAUGAUACGGACGGGCAUAAGCAAAGCAGGACCAGACAAGACAUAUUGGUAAAUACCAUAGAGACAGACGGCAUAGAAGUGGCCGAUAAGAUGAGAAGGGCUAUGGUCUAAACCGCCUAAUAAACGAAUGGGACCUUCAACACAAUUACCUCCACGCUUGAAGUAAUCGAUACAGCCCGAUUCAAGAGCCUUCAUAUAGCGAUUUUUAGGGGUAAACAAUUUGUACAAAGCAAUGGAAAGAACGUUGAUUACAAAACUGUAACCCUUACGCUUCCAAUGGAAUUUGUUCAUUUGGUUUAAAAUGCGCUCGUAGUCUAGAAGAUCGGGAACAGCGGAAGGGGAAAUGAAUCGGGAAAGAAGAUAGGCAUCGUGAAAGCAAACAGUCAUACCACCGCCGGUAAGGGGAUGGCGCAUAUUGUUUGAAUCGCCAACGAGGAUCAUACCUUUGGUACGGUUGACAGUGGGGGGUAAAAAUUGGUUAGGCAUGGACCUAAGACGAUCGUUAUAAACAGCGGCCUUGAGGGAAGGGCGAAGCUUUUCGGGCAUGUUUGGGACGCAUGAUUCUAAAACGUAUUUUUUAAGAGUCUCCAUGGGGGGUAAAUUCUUACCAGGGUAGUUGAUUAAGAUACGAGCUUCAGUAGAGGAAAUUGGGUAAAGGACCAUAGGAGCAACCUUGCUUAAAAUUACAUGACCACGACCAGGAGCGAUGUAAUCGGGAUUGGUCAAAAUCAAGCCCAAGAAGUGAUCGGUGACUUGGAUAGGGUGAUCGAUGAAAGCCUUUCUAAAUUUGGAAAAGCAACCAUCACAAACAAUGGUCAAGGGAGCCUUGUACUCGACAGGGGACUCGGACUUUUUAGAACUGGUAACAACACCGGUAAUCACCUCACCAGUUUCAUCGCGUAAAAGUUCAUUGACGGUGGCCUCGGUUACAGUGACGUUGGGGGUGCUUGUAAGUGCUUUACGAAGGUUCAUGACAAAGCGACCAUAAUGGAAACCAAUUCCUUGGUAUGCACCGCCAUUGGGCUUGCUGGGGUAAGGAACGGAAACGUUUGAAUCGCCAUAAAAGAUUUGAUAGCCAGAAGUCCAUUGACCGUCAAUGCCUUCGACAGCAUCGGCGAUGCCGAUCUUCUCUAAGGCUUCAAUACCACCUGGUUGAAGCAAUUCACCAACAAUUCUAUCGGGUUCAGACAUAUCACGUUCCAAAACCAACACUUUUCUGCCUUGGCGGCCCAAAGCGGCGCCCAAAGCACAGCCGGUGAUACCGGCACCAAUAAUAAUAAUAUCAGCGUCUUGAGUUGCCAUUGUGGAUAAUCAAGAAAGAAUAGAAUAACAAAUAAAAUAAAGUAAAAGAGAUACUGAUGAAAAAUACUUGAAAAAAAAAGGAAUGAAUGAAUGUGAAACAAGAGAAGUUCUUGCAACAGACACUGGGAUUACAAUUCAAGUAGGUUUACUAAAGGUAAAAGAAACGAAUCGAAUCAACGAUCCAAGACAGACAAAAUUGCAAAGGCAAAAAGUAAAGAAAACUACACACAGAGAAACAGGAACAACGAGAACACGCGAGGAAACACACAACUUGAAGAGAGAAAAGACGUGUGUGUAUGUGUGUACUAAGCAAGAUCAACCAACAAAGACGUUAAGAGAGAUUGCUCAAAAUCACAAAAUGAUAUUCAACGAAGGAAAUUAGGCAAUACAACCUACAACCAGACAGUACGUUCGGCUUUAUUAUAAGAACGGAACGAAGGCGAGCGAAAGCACUUGGCGAAUGCCUUUCAACGAGUAAGGAAGAAACUUGUGGAAGCAGGAAUCGGUAGCACCGCUGAUAGGAUGGCGUGGAGCUAACUUUGGUGAUUUUAUAGGUCGACAAGACCCCAUAGGGUUAGGGUUUUGAACUAUGAAGGAAGUUAGUUGAGGGAGGGCUGAGCAAAAACAGACCAUAUUGUCGCAAAGCAAAAAUAAAAGUAGCCAAUCAACGGCUCAAAAAUGACCGAUCGCCGAAAUCAAACGUAGCGUAGCGAGGAAGAGAGGUAUCGCCGAUUUCGCAACGCAUUUAACAAUAGUAUGAUAUGCUGCUUUAGUGCAAUGAUAGCGCAAGUUUGAAUGGAUUGUAUUAAAUGGGAAAUAGAUGAAUGAAUGAAUGAAAAAAAAAAGAGUCAGUGAAUA